rnacentral:rRNA from 1 species
ACCAGCGGAGGGAUCAUUGCUGGAACGCGCCCCAGGCGCACCCAGAAACCCUUUGUGAACUUAUACCUUACUGUUGCCUCGGCGCUAGCUGGUCCUCCGGGGCCCCUCACCCUCGGGUGUUGAGACAGCCCGCCGGCGGCCAACCCAACUCUUGUUUUUACACUGAAACUCUGAGCACAAAACAUAAAUGAAUCAAAACUUUCAACAACGGAUCUCUUGGUUCUGGCAUCGAUGAAGAACGCAGCGAAAUGCGAUAAGUAAUGUGAAUUGCAGAAUUCAGUGAAUCAUCGAAUCUUUGAACGCACAUUGCGCCCUCUGGUAUUCCGGAGGGCAUGCCUGUUCGAGCGUCAUUUCAACCCUCAAGCCUGGCUUGGUGAUGGGGCACUGCUUUUACCCAAAAGCAGGCCCUGAAAUUCAGUGGCGAGCUCGCCAGGACCCCGAGCGCAGUAGUUAAACCCUCGCUCUGGAAGGCCCUGGCGGUGCCCUGCCGUUAAACCCCCAACUUCUGAAAAUUUGACCUCGGAUCAGGUAGGAAUACCCGCUGAACUUAA